rnacentral:rRNA from 1 species
CCUACGGGUGGCAGCAGUGAGGAAUAUUGGUCAAUGGCCGGAAGGCUGAACCAGCCAAGCCGCGUGAAGGACGAAGGUGCCAAGCAUUGUAAACUUCUUUUGUCAAGGAAUAAAACGAGGCACGUGUGCCUUUUUGCAUGUACUUUAUGAAUAAGGAUCGGCUAACUCCGUGCCAGCAGCCGCGGUAAUACGGAGGAUCCGAGCGUUAUCCGGAUUUAUUGGGUUUAAAGGGAGCGUAGAUGGGUUGUUAAGUCAGUUGUGAAAGUUUGCGGCUCAACCGUAAAAUUGCAAUUGAUACUGGCAGUCUUGAGUACAGUUGAGGUAGGCGGAAUUCGUGGUGUAGCGGUGAAAUGCUUAGAUAUCACGAAGAACCCCGAUUGCGAAGGCAGCUUACUAAACUGUGACUGACAUUGAUGCUCGAAAGUGUGGGUAUCAAACAGGAUUAGAUACCCGGGUAGUC